AUACGGAAGGUCCGGGCGUUAUCCGGAUUUAUUGGGUUUAAAGGGAGCGCAGGCGGAGAUGCAAGCGUGACGUCAAAUUUCGGGGCUCAACCCCGUCUCGCGUCGCGAACUGCGUCCCUUGGUUGCGGGAAGGGGAGGCGGAACUCGUGGUGUAGCGGUGAAAUGCAUAGAUAUCACGAAGAACUCCGAUCGCGAAGGCAGCCUUCCGGCCCGUCAACGACGCUCAUGCUCGAAGGUGCGGGUAUCCAACAGGAUUAGAUACCCUGGUAGUCCGCACAGUAAACGAUGGACACCCGCGGUUUGGCCUGUAUGGCUGAGCCGCCAAGCGAAAGCGUUAAGUGUCCCACCUGGGGAGUACGCCGGCAACGGUGUAACUCAAAUGAAUUGGCGGGG
rnacentral:rRNA from 1 species